UACGUAGGGACCGAGCGUUGUCCGGAAUCAUUGGGCGUAAAGAGCGUGUAGGCGGCCCGAUAAGUCCGCUGUGAAAGUCCAGGGCUCAACCCUGGAAUGCCGGUGGAUACUGUCGGGCUCGAAUCCGGAAGAGGUGAGUGGAAUUCCUGGUGUAGCGGUGAAAUGCGCAGAUAUCGGGAGGAACACCAAUGGCGAAGGCAGCUCGCUGGGACGGUACUGACGCUGAGACGCGAAAGCGUGGGGAGCAAACAGG
rnacentral:rRNA from 1 species